rnacentral:lncRNA from 1 species
CUCUGUCCCAAAGUCCCAAACAGUCCUACAACCACUGCCAGAGCCAGUGCCCGCAGCAGUGAGGUGUUCUAAGAAAUGUGGGCGGUGAUGUGUGUCUGCCCCUGGACUCGGUGCCACUUUAGAGAAAAGGGGGGCGGGGGGGGGAGGAAACAGAACACAGUAAAGAGAAAAAGACCAUGCAUAAAUCUAAGUGUUUCACUGAAAGUAAAAUGCAAGUUCGUGUCUUUGUUACAGAGGUGGAACCAAUGAUAGCAAAUGCUGACAAAGAGAAAGCUGGACAAGCAGUUUUUUGGUGAUUAAUACCGAAGGGACGGGAUGAAAGAAGGAAGCAAGAAUGCAGUUUAGCGGACCCUCGAUAUCCCCAGAAGCUGCGACAGUAGGAGGUGUUCUGGCCUGGGUAACUAAGGUAACUCUCGAUCCUGAAUGUUAGUUAUUUCGGCCUCCCGGAGGCAGCGCUGAGGACUCAGUAACCCCGUUCCUACCCCGUGGAUAUUGUUCACUGUAUCUGCCUUAGUUUUGCUUUGGUCGUUUCUAUUUUGUUUUGUUAUCAUACGUCCAUCUAUAGAAAGGGAAAGAUACAAUAUUUAAUUUUUAGAUUAAUUGCCACGGCUGAAGUUGAAGAGACCAGAAAAAUGUAAGCAAGCUGAAGUAAUGAAAUCAAAUGGAAGCAACUGAGAGCUGUCUCCAUUGCCCAAAAAGGGAAAGCCCGUUCCUCCUGGCGAGGAAGGAUCACCAAUAAUAGCAAUUGGAAUAAUAGAUCACCAACAUAUAACGGAAGGUCUGUACGUAUUACAAAAAGUAUGCUACAUACAUAUAUUUCUGCGUGUGACUUCAUGCGUCUAUGAAGCAUCAUACUUUAAGAGCUACAAGACAGCAAACUAUUAUCCUAGGGGAAUGGUGGUCAAGUGGCCAGAGUUACUGAAGAGACAGAGACAGAAGUGUGCAAAUUGUAAAAUGAAGAGGUGGCUUUCAGGAAGGCUCAGUUAGUGCAACCCCAGGUUAAUUGCCUGGCAAUGGCAUUUGGGGCAACAGGAAGACAGCAGAUGGAAGAAAAGUGAAAGCCUUGCGGAAUGAAGGCUCCUUCUCGUCAGUUCCAACUCCGAGCAAUCUUAGGAGGAUUUAAUUUCCUCCAGCAGCGUUAACCUGGCUUUGCCGGUAUCGGCGCACCGUGAUGGAAAUGACCGGAAAGGAGUCAGGAACGGAACCGGAACGAGGAAGGUGACACUGCUUUCGCUAAACUGGAAGGAGC